rnacentral:lncRNA from 1 species
AAAAUGGUUGCACCCAUCUUGCAUCAAUGCACACAUGAAUGUUCUAACUUGAUUCAACCUUAAAGACCCUCCUCUCAAAGGCUCCAAACCAGUACACUCUUUGUGUUCUAGCCAUGGCUAAUCACCCAAUCUUGUUUUUGAUACUCCUAUACAAUCUGGUUCAAUAUGAUGGCCGAAUGGAGCAACACUUGUCAAUCUUUUGAUAACAAUUUGGCGCUAUCCCUCCUGAGCUUAUACUUCUUAUGUUGUUUAUUCCUAGAGUCCAACUUCAUAAAGGUUGUUCGAGUUUUCUUGACCUUGCAAGCCCGUUGAAUACUUUGGUACAUUUCAAGAUUAUCUGUUUAAACAACUUUGCCGUGAAGUGAUGCAAGUUCUACACAUAUUUCUAUCCCUCUUGAGCUAGUAUAGUCUAUGUAUAAUGUGUAUAUAACCUUUGUAAACGUAUUUCUCCUUUUGAAGUGGCAUAACUUUUUUCUUUCUUCUAGUUAUGUAUGUAAACUAGAGGGUCAAACUCAGACGCUGCAUCGGGGAUGUUAAAAUUUGUAAUGCUCGAUUUUGACGACUACAAAAAAAAAGUUAGUUUAUUAUGGUUUUAUUGCACAAAAGAUGUAUGGUUUAACCCAAAAAAGUCGUGUUUAUAUCAAUC